rnacentral:rRNA from 1 species
GAUGAACGCUAGCGAUAGGCUUAACACAUGCAAGUCGAGGGGCAGCAUGGUCUUAGCUUGCUAAGACUGAUGGCGACCGGCGCACGGGUGCGUAACGCGUAUGCAACUUGCCUCACAGAGGGGGAUAACCCGUCGAAAGACGGACUAAUACCGCGUACACUUGGGAUAGGGCAUCCUGACCCAAGGAAAUGAAAUUCGCUGUGAGAUAGGCAUGCGUCCCAUUAGCUAGUUGGUGAGGUAACGGCUCACCAAGGCGACGAUAGGUAGGGGAACUGAGAGGUUGAACCCCCACACUGGUACUGAGACACGGACCAGACUCCUACGGGAGGCAGCAGUGAGGAAUAUUGGUCAAUGGGCGAGAGCCUGAACCAGCCAAGUCGCGUGAAGGAUGACUGUCUUAUGGAUUGUAAACUUCUUUUAUACGGGAAUAACAAGAGUCACGUGUGGCUCCCUGCAUGUACCGUAUGAAUAAGCAUCGGCUAACUCCGUG